UUGCUGUGUUGUGGUGUUGACGCUCUCCCCUCCCUCUCUAUCCCUUCCUUGGUAUAUAAGUGUGGAUGACUGGUUGGUGUUUAAAAGUGAAGGAAAAACAAGUUCAGGCCUCUUGGACGUUAGUUUCAGAAGAACUGCCAUGACCUCUGCUGUGACCCCUAAAGAUGAUACUCUAGCAUGGGCAGGAUGAUUGACAGGUGACAAGUUUGAUCCCAGAAUGUAUGUGGUGGCAGUGGGCGGGACAUCCUCCUCCCACCUAGUAGUACCCAUCUCUGUCACCUGCUCUUGGCUGUUAUUGCUCUUCAAUUCUGCCUUUGGUCAAAAACCUGCAAAGCUUCCCUUGAUUAGUCGGAAGCCCUUUCUCGCUGCCUGGAACGCUCCCUUAGAUAUGUGUACCAUCAAGUACAAUAUUACAACCAACCUUGAGCAUCUUUUUCACAUACAAGGAAGCCCACGUGCUACUUGGACAGGGCAAAAUGUAACAAUUUUUUAUGCAAACCGGCUUGGCCACUACCCUUACUACACGCCACAAGGCAAAGCCAUUCAUGGAGGUCUGCCUCAAAACUGCAGCCUGGACAUGCAUCUGCUCAAAGCUUAUCAGCACAUUGUUCACUUCAUUCCUGCAGAGGAUUUUCGUGGCCUGGCUGUCAUUGACUGGGAGUUCUGGCGACCUCAGUGGGACCGUAACUGGCACAAAAAGAACAUUUACAAGCAAAAGUCGAAGGAGCUGACCAAGAAGGCGUAUGUUAAUGUGACUGCAGCUCAGGUAGAGGUGCUGGCCCGGAGGCGAUUUGAGAAAAGUGCCAAAACAUUCAUGCAAAGGACACUACAGUUGGGAACACGGCUACGGCCCAAUGCCCUCUGGGGUUUCUACCUCUACCCAGACUGUCAUAACUACAACUUGCACGACCAGAACUACACGGGCCUGUGUCCCCUGCCGGAGAUGAUGAGGAACGACGAGCUGUUGUGGCUGUGGAACAGCAGUACAGCGUUGUUUCCCUCUGUGGCAAUCAGAAAGAGUCACACCAACAGCAUCAGUAACUGGCACUUUGCCCACAACAGAAUCCAAGAGUCUCUCCGGAUUGCCUCACUUACCUCAAAGGAGUAUGACCUUCCCACCUACGUCUACCUCAGACUAGGCUACCGAGAUGAUGCACUGGCUUUUCUCACCACAAAAGACUUGAUUCAUACUAUUGGCGAGAGUGCUGCUCUGGGAGCUGCAGGAUUCAUCAUCUGGGGAGAUCUUAACUUGACAUCAUCCAGGCAUAACUGCACUUUGGUGAAGUCCUUCUUGACUCGUCGCCUUGGUCGGUACAUCACCAAUGUGACCCGGGCUGCUGAAGUCUGCAGUGAAUUCCUGUGCCAAGGGAACGGCCGGUGUGUCCGCCAAGACCCCCUUGCCCACCACUACCUCCAUCUGAGUUCAGAGAAUUACCAAAUUCACCCCUCAGGGAACGGGACCUUUACCGUCAGCGGGUGGCCGUCACAGAAUGACCUGCAGCAGCUCACUGACAGAUUUCGCUGCCACUGCUAUGAAGGCCAUGAAGGACACAGAUGUGACAGUUUAAACAAAGUAAAGGAGGAUGAUGAGCUGAUGAAGGAAGAGAAGAACGAGCAAGAACGAAAGAGGACUGAGUGGGAGGAUGAGCAGGGUGGGCUGUGGGAGAACAGGGAGAGCUCUGCCCUGCCAGUUGGUUGCUCUCAUUACCAGAUACUAUUAUUGCUACAUUUGAACUUACUGCUCAUACAGAUGGUUGUAUAGUUCUAUGAAGAUUUCACCCCAAAUACAGCUAUGGAUAGAUAAUUUUACACAUGAUUUCUAUUUUGUUUUAUGCAAAGAUGGGUAAACAUGAUUGUAUUAGCACAAAUAUAUACAACAAAAGGACUUUGUCUCAUUUCACUUCUCAAAAGUCCAGAACAGCUUUAUCAAUUCUGAUUACAGGUACAGACUCAACAAGUGUGGCCAACAGUCAAAAGUCACAUGGUUAAAGUGUGAACGAUUGUAAAUCCACUAAGGGAGACGAGUCAAGGCUGCAGAGCAGGUGUUAGGGAGAAUCUACCUGAGGCCAUCUUCUCAUUGGUUUUUCCUGCUCAGCCUUUUCACUCAUGUCUCAGACCAGCUGUCUUCCUUCUGCUUCAGACGUAGAUUAACCGCUGAGUUUGCUCCUCAGUGUCAGGAUAUCAUAUUGUUUAGCUGCUGUUCAAUUUCUAUAAUUUAGAGCUUAGACUGGCUGUAUUGGAAUAUACUGUACCACACCACUGAGCCUGUGUUUGGAUGUUUUACCCUUAGGACAAUAUUUCACUUCUUCUUUUAGCCUCAGUGGAUUGAGUUAAAUGUUGUCAGCUGGAUGCAUUAACAUCAGACCAGUAAAGGUAUUGUAAUGAAUAUAAUAAUUAUGUGUCUUUCCGCUAUCUCUUUAUCUGCUCAUAUGCACACUGCUGCAUGCUUACAUAGCCAUAACAUAUAACACCGGCAACAGCCACACAUAACCAAAAACUGAUUAAGGCCGGUGUUCUAUCAGAUCAUCAUACGCUGUCAGAAUAGCAUACUGCGCAUGCGCAUUAAGAAGUCCGACCGUUAGAGGAACUGUCAGUUCAGCAUACACGACCAGUUACGACGAAAAUAAGUCAUUAAAUUGUUUUCAAUGAUAAUUAGAUAGAUAUACAUGCAUUAUCGUGGUUUAAAAGUGUAUUUGAAGCAGGGACUAGCUAAAGCUGCAGUCAAUUACAACACACGCCCGUGUAAAACUUGCCUCCCUGUUGCUUGAUGACGGCCUGACUAGUUAACCGCUAAGUCAGGAUGUCAUACAGCUGGUCAGAAAGAGUAUGCUGAUCUGACAGAACACCGGCCAACACACAUUUGUCCCUUUUCCACCAGCUCGGCUCGGCUCGCCUCUACUCGGCUCGCUUUACCAGCUUUUCCACCGGCUUUGUUUUGGAGGCUGGUUCCUGCUUUGGAGUAGGGCCAGGUGUGCUGCUUCAUGGGUGACACAAGCUUCGCUCCUGUUCACUGAUUGGCCGUGGGCGUGGGCGUGGUCAGACAUAGGAAAAAAGGCGCAACAUUUCAAACUCGCUGCAAGUGAUGGAAGCUACAAGCAUGAAGUGGUGAACAAAGAUGCCGGCUUUUCUUUGCUUCGGAUUUCAAUAUUCAGUGGCAGCUCGGUGGUGCAGUGAGGAAUGAGUCGUUUCUGUCAAAGCCUCGUUAGCCGCUUCGCAGCCCCACGGUGAACACCGACUCAGAUGCAGCUGACGCCGCUGCUGAUCUCCAGCCAGAAGAAGAGGAACAUGGCUGACAUGAUGGAGAACGAUGAGGAGAACCGUCAGAACAACAACUGGAGGAAGCAGCUACCAGCAGAGAUGGCAAAUAUUGAAAUAAUAUUAAUAUUAAAAACUGCACUGUAACAAAUGGCUGUAAAAACUACUACAGCAUGAAAAUACAGUAAGGUGGCUGGGUUUUGAAAAUACAGCUAUUGUGAUCUGAAAUGCGUAUGGGAAGUAUAAGGGACGUGUUUGGACCGCUGGAUCACGUGCGGAAAUUUACACAUGUACUGUAAAUUUGUAAUGUACAGUUGCAUUGUGGGAUUUUUACCGGCUGGAGGCGAACGUUCACAGGCUGGAGGGCGGGCCAACAAUGACUUUCACCGGGAAACAGCAUCAAGGGCACAAGCGGGUCCAGCAGCUCCUUUUGCCACCUAGAGUAUUGUUUCAUAGGUGAUUCAUAGGCCUCAACCCAGAAAAUGGAACAAAAGCUGCAAACGGAAAAGUGACAUCAACCAACAAGACGACUUAUGCAGAACACAGCAGUGAACCUGCAUGUCUCCAUUCUCCUCCUUCAUGAACCAUGUAAUUUUACCAUUUUAAAAUGGUAAAAUUACACAUUUACACACAAUCAGUUCUCUUACUCCAUCUCUCUCCCUGUCUGUCUUUUUCUCUGCCUCUCUCUCUGUAUCUGUUCUGUCCAUUUCUAAUAGACAGACAGGAGGACAGAACAAUGAAGGAAGGUCAGAGAGAGUCUUUCCUUUUCAUCCUGUCUGUGUUUAACUGAUAUGAAUGCAGUUUGGAAACUUUGACAUUUGGGUACUUUGCUUUAGUAAAGAUUAUUUAAUUAAUUGUACUCAAUGUCAUAUUAUCAUGAUUGUAAAUGUAUCAGUUAUGUUUUUAGAUCUGACUAUUUUUCACUUUGGUUGCAAUACUUUGACUUUUGUGUAACAAGCAAAUAUUGCUGCUGCAAAAUACUGUAUUUUGUUUUGCUUCAGUUUGUCAGAUUUAAAUUGACAAUAAAAUCAAGUGGUUUUAAAAUAUACAUGUAUGUUUUUUAAAUUAGAAAAAUAAUUUUUUUUGUGAGUUUGGUAAAUUAAGUUGCAAGUUCACAUUUAAACUUUUAAAAGCUAGCAAAGUAUGCAGUUUCAUGAACUACUGAAAAAUGACAACUUUUUGUAAUUGUGACUAGUUUAAAUGCUGUUCAAAUGUGUUGUCAUAUGGCAAGAGUUUAUACCUUUUGUAGUAAAGUGCCUGCACUGCACAUGUAAAAGAAAAUGGAUAACAAUUUUGAAAAUACAGUUUUGUUGUACCUGU